UGGACUUUGGCGGGAGACGAGAAGGCUGAAGUAGAGCGGCUUUGGCGCGAGUUGACUUUGCAGCUGCUGUAGAAUUUGUGGCGGGAGAGUUUUUACGGUGGUGAUCGAGACGCGAGGAGUGUGCACUGAGCGACACGGCCCUGAAGAGUGCAAAGCUCCGCGAGGUCUGGUGUCCAGAGAGUUGUGUGGCCAUCAUGCCUCAAACCAGAUCCCAGACACAAGCUACCAUCGGUUUUCCGAAAAAGAAGCUAUCUAAUACCCUGAAGAAACCCAAUUCCCGGGAUUGUGAAGUAAAACUUAGAAACGUCCAGCCUGUACCCACCACUCCGUGUGUGGACGUAAAACUUCUGCCUCUCAGUCCCCGAAAACGUCUGGGCGAUGACAACCUGUGCAACACUCCCCGGUUAUCUCCCUGUUCUCCACCAAAGCUGGGCAAGAAAGAAAACGGACCCCCUCGCUCACAUACGUGGAAGGGGUGCAGAUUAGUAUUCGAUGAUGAGCCGACAUUUAAGGCUUCCCCCCCAAAAGAACAAGACAGAGUUCGCCAACACCAGAUACGUUCCUCCUCCGCUCAAAGAAGUCCAGAGAGCAAAGCAGAUCCUGAGCAGAAAUGUCCGCCGGAGAAGGAGUCUGUGUGUAUAAGACUGUUCAAGCAAGAAGGCACUUGCUAUCAGCAAGCCAAGCUCGUCCUGAAUACAGCUGUCCCGGAUCGGCUGCCUGCCAGAGAGCAGGAGAUGGGUGUCAUCAGGAAUUUUCUGAAGGAGCACAUCUGUGGGAAGAAAGCUGGCAGUCUCUACCUUUCUGGCGCUCCUGGGACUGGAAAAACUGCCUGUUUAAGCCGGAUUCUGCAAGACUUCAAGGAAGUAAAAGGCUUUAAAUCCAUCCUGCUGAAUUGCAUGUCCCUGAGGAGUGCCCAGGCUGUGUUCCCAGCUAUUGCUCAGGAGAUUGGUCGGGAGGAGCUGUGCAGACCAGCUGGGAAGGACUUGAUGAGAAAACUGGAAAAGCACUUGACAGCAGAGAAAGGCCCCAUGAUCGUGUUGGUGUUGGACGAGAUGGAUCAGCUGGACAGCAAAGGGCAGGAUGUAUUAUACACACUGUUUGAGUGGCCGUGGCUAAGCAACUCCCGAUUGGUGCUCAUUGGUAUUGCUAAUACCCUAGAUCUCACGGACAGAAUUCUGCCGAGACUUGAAGCUAGAGAAAACUGUAAGCCGCAGUUAUUGAACUUCCCACCUUAUACCAGGAAUCAGAUAGCUGCCAUCUUGCAGGAUCGACUUAGUCAGGUGUCAAAAGACCAGGUUCUGGACAGUGCUGCGAUCCAGUUCUGUGCCCGCAAAGUGUCUGCUGUUUCAGGAGACAUCCGUAAAGCGCUGGAUGUUUGCAGGCGAGCUAUAGAAAUUGUGGAGUCGGAUGUCAGGAGCCAGACAGUCCUCAAACCACUCUCCGAAUGACUGGUUUCAGUGGCCUUGCUGUAUAGUAAGCUAUACAGACGGUGACUUCAACUAAAUACAAGGAAUGUUCUAAUGCACAGAAAUAAAGGUUCCCCAGCACUGAAGAUAGGCAACAAAAAGUUGGCGAGACGUCCAGGAUGGUGGGCCAUACCAGUGAUUCCAGCACUCAGCAUGGUCACUACAAGUUCAGGGCCAGCACAGGGGACUCUUAAACCAUGAAACAGGAAAAUGGGGUAAAUCACCCAGCGAGUCGCCGGUCCCCAAGCGCGUUGGUCUUGCUCACAUAUCCCAAGUCAUUUCGGAAGUUGAUGGGAACAGGGUGACUUUGAGCCAAGAAAACACACAGGAUUCCCUUCCUCUCCAGCAGAAGAUCCUGGUUUGCUCUUUGCUGCUUUUGACCCGGCGGCUGAAAAUCAAAGAGGUCACCCUGGGGAAGUUAUAUGAAGCCUACAGUAGCAUCUGUCGCAAACAGCAGGUGACGGCCGUAGACCAGUCUGAGUGUUUGUCCCUUUCAGGACUCCUGGAGUCCAGGGGCCUUGUGGGAUUAAAGAAAAAUAAGGAGAGCCGCCUCACCAAGGUGUCUCUGAAGAUUGAAGAAAAGGAAAUAGAGCAUGUCCUGAACGGCAAAGCUUUCACCGGGAACAUCCUCGCUGCUGGUCUGCCCUGAAUGGCUCUUACUCAUGGCACUUGCAGGUGUCCCUCCCACUGGCAUUUGAGAGCCCCCAGAAUCUUCAUUUUAGUAAGGUCGUUUGGAAACAGUUACGGCCUUUUUUACUCCGCACCAGUAAAUUUUAGUGUAUGGAUUCAUGAGUGUUAGCGCUGGCUGAUAUCUUUGGUUCUUACUGGUUUUACCCAUAAAAAUGACCGAGUAGCUGGGUGUGGUGACUUUUAUGCCUGUGAUCCCAGCACUUGGGAAAUAGAGUCAAGAGUUAAAGGCCAUCCUUUGCUACAUAGUGAGCUUGAGCUGGCCUGGACUACAUGAGACUCUGUAAGAAUAAAAACAGUGGCCCUUUUUAAAGCAAUGUUCAGUACUUUUCCCCUUUCACAUUCCUAAACACAGUGCCUACGAGUAUAUACGGACUUGUGUUGGAGAGUGUGUGUAUGUAUUACCUCUGUCUACAAAGGAUAUAUUUUGUAAAGAACUUUGAAGUUUAGAAGGAUGAAAUGGAAUGAUCCAGGAAAAUUUACGAGCCUCCGUGGAAGGGCAUUGUGUUCAGAGGAUGCCUCAUUCAUGUGACAGGUGUUGCUGCCCUGGACUUUUUAAGGACUGAUGAAGAAUCUCCCGUGCUCCCCACCAGUAUGGGGGUGACGAGGAGAAUAACUACAGAUUGUGAAUAUAUUUAUUUUCAAGUUUCGUUUGUCUGGGCUGCAUUUGUUGUCUCUGGGUUUUCGGGCACAUAGGUGUUCAUAUCCGAGUCAAGCAGCAGGAGUCGCUGUUUGCCUUCUACGGUGUGGACCGCUAGGACUGAGCUCGGGCCAUCAAACUUGGCUGGCGACCAGCGCCUACCCUUCAAGCCAUUUUAUGGGUUUGUGUUCGUCUUUUUAAGCAGCCACACUCCAUGGUAGCUUAGGUUUUCAGAGGUUAAUAAGAAAAUACCUUCUCAUCGGGCCUUGGUAGUACACACCCUUAAAUCCCAGCCCGCAGGUGAUAGAUAGAGGCAGGCGGGUCCCUGUGUUUCAGACAUGUUCCAGGACAGUCUGGUCUACAGAGACUCCAGAAACAACAACAACAAAAUUAAAAAUAACUAGCAAGUGGAAAUACUCUCUCACACUUUGCCUCAGGGUUAGCUUCCCUCAGACAGAGCCAUUGUUUCAAUAGGAUGCAGCUCCGGAUGAAUUUUCAUCUGAGCCCCUCUUUCUAGGCUCCCUAGAGAAGUUCAUCUUCCUGGCAUCAAGUGGCAGUUUGUGACAGGGACACCAGAGGGCACCAUUACAACGCCGCUUUGAAAGUGUGGCCCGGGCAAGGGUGGUUUUGAGGGAAGGGGCAGGAAGGUGCCUGAGUCCGACUUGUUUGGGAGGUUGCUGAUGCAUUCGUACCUGGCUAAGUGCUUGGGAGCAAACCAUGCCUGGGAUGAACUGUCUGAGUCUUUGCUUUUCUCCAGGCGAGGCUGCUGCCCCGAUGCCUGAUCCGGCCCCGAGCUUGGGAAUCUGAUAUGGGUACAGGAGAUCUGUUGGCCACUGUUUGAUGCAGCCUGCACAUUAUCCUUGUAAAGCGAUCUGAACCCCACAGCAGGUGGGAUGGGAUGGGAUGGGAUGGGAUGUGCUGGGAUGAGAUAGGAGGGCUCGCUCGACGCCCUCUGAGAUGCACACUGCCCACUGCAGAAGACUGUAGAGAGGAGAUUGGAUGCCAAGCACUCACUCAUAGAAUACACAUUCCCUCUGGGGCGGUGCACAAGACCAUACUCUCCCAAGGAGUUUGGAGAGAGUCUGGAACUGUAAGGGUUAACGAGCACAACUGUAAAGAUUGUCCGAAGACUGAUGGGAAGCAGAGACCGAAUGGGAUUGAGAACAGAUGUGAGGCUUGAUUUAAAUUACAUUUUAUUGGAUGCUGCAGCCUUAAGAGACGUGACUGCUUUACAGUUUGUUUCCACACUGUGGGCAGCUGCUGUCUGUUCUGUGUCCAUAGUAGGAUCCUGCCCAAAGAGGAGCGGCCUCCCCGCCUCCGAUGUAGUUGAGGCUUGGCGCCUUCCUCUUAACUGCAGGGCUUGAGUCAGGAACAGGGUUUGACUCUCAGUGGGACUGGGCUGUAUCCUCCCUGGCUUCUAGCCAAGAUUGCAUUUACAGAUUCAAAGGGGCCAAGUUCCUUCCCCUCUCUCUGUCUUCUCCCCAUUUGGAAAUAGGGCUUUCUGUGGACUGUUUUGUUUCCUUCAGCACACACACACACACACCCCACACACACUGUCGAUUUCUAGGUCAUUGCUACUCUUAAGGCUUCAGCAAUUGGAACAGGGUGGGUUGUGUCAGUGAUGCGUGAAGCAGACUUAGAGUCCCUGCUUGGCUUCCGCUGCCCUUGUGGGAGCAGAGGCUGAUGUAUGUUUGUCAGCAAAGUCUUAAGUGUAAUUCAGACGCCGAGGCGGAAAGGAGGAGAGAGGCCUUUCCUUGCUGCUUUUUCUCACCGAAGCUGGAAGCUAUGGGAAGGUGGUGGGAGUUUAAGUGGAAAGGGAUGGGCCUGUGGUUGCUAGUUUUUGCCAGGAUCUUAGGCCACAUGGCGUAGUGGCAAAGAUGCUGACCUACAUUUCCUCCUUUUGAAGACACUGGGGUGUGUGUAUCCUGGUUUGUCAUUAUUAUUAUUGUUAUUAUUGUUGUUGUUGUUAUUUUAAGAACCAGAUUAAGUUUCCAUAGUGUCAGGUAUCGCUAUGGAAAGAACAUAGACUCAAUAAAGUUGGUAUGAAUUCCAACCCCAA